UAACACAUGCAAGUCGAGCGGUAACAGAUCCAGCUUGCUGGAUGCUGACGAGCGGCGGACGGGUGAGUAAUGCAUAGGAAUCUGCCCGAUAGUGGGGGAUAACCUGGGGAAACCCAGGCUAAUACCGCAUACGUCCUACGGGAGAAAGGGGGCUCCGGCUCCCGCUAUGGGAUGAGCCUAUGUCGGAUUAGCUAGUUGGUGAGGUAACGGCUCACCAAGGCCACGAUCCGUAGCUGGUCUGAGAGGAUGAUCAGCCACAUCGGGACUGAGACACGGCCCGAACUCCUACGGGAGGCAGCAGUGGGGAAUAUUGGACAAUGGGGGAAACCCUGAUCCAGCCAUGCCGCGUGUGUGAAGAAGGCCCUCGGGUUGUAAAGCACUUUCAGCGAGGAAGAACGCCUAGCGGUUAAUACCCGCUAGGAAAGACAUCACUCGCAGAAGAAGCACCGGCUAACUCCGUGCCAGCAGCCGCGGUAAUACGGAGGGUGCAAGCGUUAAUCGGAAUUACUGGGCGUAAAGCGCGCGUAGGUGGCUUGAUAAGCCGGUUGUGAAAGCCCCGGGCUCAACCUGGGAACGGCAUCCGGAACUGUCAAGCUAGAGUGCAGGAGAGGAAGGUAGAAUUCCCGGUGUAGCGGUGAAAUGCGUAGAGAUCGGGAGGAAUACCAGUGGCGAAGGCGGCCUUCUGGACUGACACUGACACUGAGGUGCGAAAGCGUGGGUAGCAAACAGGAUUAGAUACCCUGGUAGUCCACGCCGUAAACGAUGUCGACCAGCCGUUGGGUGCCUAGCGCACUUUGUGGCGAAGUUAACGCGAUAAGUCGACCGCCCUGGGGAGUACGGCCGCAAGGUUAAAACUCAAAUGAAUUGACGGGGGCCCGCACAAGCGGUGGAGCAUGUGGUUUAAUUCGAUGCAACGCGAAAAACCUUACCUACUCUUGACAAU
rnacentral:rRNA from 1 species